rnacentral:rRNA from 1 species
UACGGAGGGGGCGAGCGUUAUUCGGAAUUAUUGGGCGUAAAGGGCGCGUAGGCGGCCUCUGCAAGUCGACUGUGAAAUCUCCGGGCUUAACCCGGAAAGGUCAGCCGAUACUGCAGGGCUAGAGUGCAGAAGGGGCAACUGGAAUUCUCGGUGUAGCGGUGAAAUGCGUAGAUAUCGAGAGGAACACCUGCGGCGAAGGCGGGUUGCUGGGCUGACACUGACGCUGAGGCGCGAAAGCUAGGGGAGCGAACGGG